rnacentral:lncRNA from 1 species
AAACUAUCGACUCAAGGCGGACCGCUGCCGCGAGCGGCGGUGCCGUCGUUGAAGCACAGCGGAAUCGUUGUGUCGGAUUUCUUAAAUUGGCCGAGUAGGCCCUGGGACUAAUUUUUGGGUUUAAUUGGGACAUUUGUAGGUAUCGUAAGCGCGUUUCAGUUUCCAAAGAAAAAUUCAGGGAAUCCAAGGACCGCUCGUAGGUGCAGUAACCAUUUAGCUUUUUGGCGUCAAAUCAAGUAAAGACCCCUCACCCUAUUUCCUAUCAUGGAAUUAAAGUUUGAAUAAAUAAUAAUGCGGUAUUUUGUACAAAUUAAAUAGAUAUGCAUAAUUAAUUA